CUCAGAGCCUGCAGCUCCCAAGGCAGCUGAACACGAUGAGCACCCAGCAGUGAAACCACUGACACUGGCUCCUGCAUGAACCCAUCCCCACCCAGAGAGGAUCCCAGACCAUGUGUGCUCAGCUACAUAAAGCUCAGCUAUCUGCCCUAAGCUUUAAAGGAAUUUGCCCGGGGGAAGAAGACAGCUGCUGCCCUGAUGAGGGAUUUUUCUGAGCAGGCCUCCCGAGCCAGACAUGUCAGUGUGAGAUGCUGCCCACGUUUUUCAUCGUGACCAACAGCUCAGAUGUCCUCCUGCUGCAUUUCUCCUCAUUCAUCUCAUGGCUGAUGGCAGCCCUGCCAUCAACAGCAGCCCAAAUGCUUUGGGCAGAAGUUACAGUUCCACUAGUUUUUGCUCCUAAACUACAACAAGUGUUUAACAAAAUCUGACUCAGAAUGACCUCACUCUCUCCAGCCCUGUCCAUCUCCCACAUCCCACAUCAACAGGAUGAUUGAUUUGGAAAGAGUGAGCCAAAGGCAGAUAUUAGCAUUUGGCUCCUUGGUAACUCUUAUUCAAUCAAUACAUGUUUUACAUUUUAGGUCCCAGUGGCAGGAUGAUCAGAACAAAUUAGAAAAUCUCAGGUGGAAUAAACCUAAUGGCUGUGGAACA
rnacentral:lncRNA from 1 species